rnacentral:rRNA from 1 species
GACGAACGCUGGCGGCGUGCUUAACACAUGCAAGUCGAACGGAAAGGCCCUGCUUUUGUGGGGUGCUCGAGUGGCGAACGGGUGAGUAACACGUGAGUAACCUGCCCUUGACUUUGGGAUAACUUCAGGAAACUGGGGCUAAUACCGGAUAGGAGCUCCUGCUGCAUGGUGGGGGUUGGAAAGUUUCGGCGGUUGGGGAUGGACUCGCGGCUUAUCAGCUUGUUGGUGGGGUAGUGGCUUACCAAGGCUUUGACGGGUAGCCGGCCUGAGAGGGUGACCGGCCACAUUGGGACUGGGAUACGGCCCAGACUCCUACGGGGGGCAGCAGUGGGGAAUAUUGCACAAUGGGCGGAAGCCUGAUGCAGCAACGCCGCGUGCGGGAUGAAGGCCUUCGGGUUGUAAACCGCUUUCGCCUGUGACGAAGCGUGAGUGACGGUAAUGGGUAAAGAAGCACCGGCGAACUACGU